GCGCGGCGAAAAACCUUACACACAGUGUUUUUUGUUAUUACAAGAACUUUUGCUUUGGUCUGGACUAGAAAUAGUUUGGGCCAGAGGUUUACUGAACUAAACUUCAAUAUUUAUAUUGAAUUGUUAUUUAUUUAAUUGUCAAUUUGUUGAUUAAAUUCAAAAAAUCUUCAAAACUUUCAACAACGGAUCUCUUGGUUCUCGCAUCGAUGAAGAACGCAGCGAAAUGCGAUAAGUAAUAUGAAUUGCAGAUUUUCGUGAAUCAUCGAAUCUUUGAACGCACAUUGCGCCCUCUGGUAUUCCAGAGGGCAUGCCUGUUUGAGCGUCAUUUCUCUCUCAAACCUUCGGGUUUGGUAUUGAGUGAUACUCUUAGUCGAACUAGGCGUUUGCUUGAAAUGUAUUGGCAUGAGUGGUACUGGAUAGUGCUAUAUGACUUUCAAUGUAUUAGGUUUAUCCAACUCGUUGAAUAGUUUAAUGGUAUAUUUCUCGGUAUUCUAGGCUCGGCCUUACAAUAUAACAAACAAGUUUGACCUCAAAUCAGGUAGGAUUACCCGCUGAACUUAAGCAUAUCA
rnacentral:rRNA from 2 species